rnacentral:tRNA from 1 species
GGGGAUGUAGCUCAGGUGGGAGAGCGCCUCCCUUGCACGGAGGAGGCCAGGGGUUCGAAUCCCCUCAUCUCCACCU